UGAGGGAGAGAAUCUGAAUUUUUAAGAAAGCUAAAUCAUUAAAUAUAUAUAAGCCAAACAAUUGAUUGCAUGAUAUGAAGGCUAAUAUAAUUCCAAAUGAAAGGGAGAGCUUUAACUCCAAAAUUUAUUGUUUCACACCUUUCAAGAUUGGAUAAAUCAAAUAACCAGACACUUGAAUUCAUUUAUGGAUUUUAUUUCCUUGUUUAUUGAGCAAUUCACUUUACAUAUACUCAAUGUUUUGUCAUCAUCAAAAAGGGGGAGAUUGUGGAGUGAUUGAUCAUAACCCUAUUUGAUUUUGAUGAGCUCAAAGCGUCUGAGUAUAUCUCUUGUUUACUAAUGAAUUCAAUUGAGUGUUUCAGUAAAAAUCUUGUCUAAAGUGUUUCUAGACUUGGUUCAUAAUAUUUUGGAUAAGUUAAGAAGUCAGUUUGAACCAAAGUCUGAGACUCGAGUCGACUCCAGAGUAUUACGAGUCGACUCCAAGCGUAUCAGAAUCACUAGCACGGGCUCGAGUCGACUCCGGAUCAUUACGAGUCGACUCCAACUGAGAACAGACAGACAAGCAGAAAGCA
rnacentral:lncRNA from 1 species